ensembl:lncRNA
CAGAGACUCAAAACCCUGAAGCACUUCUCAGUUCACCUGUUCAGGACUGAAGACUUUUGAAAUUAUCUAUCAGAGACUCAAACUGAAGCAUUUCUCACAUCUCCUUGUCAAGACUCAAGAUUGAGAGCUUAUCAUUCAGCCUCAGAACUUGACGGGAGACAGAAUACAACUAUAAUUUCAUGGCGAACCCAAACCCCAGAAGUGACUGCUCAGACUCAGAGAAGUCUCAUAUGAAAAUAAAUUCCCCAGAGAGCCUCUCAAGGGGUGAUCUCCCUAAUUCCCACACCUUUCACCAAAAGACCAAAACCCCCUUCAGAGGUUACAUCUGUCGCCGGGAGACGACAACCUUCUAUGAAGGAUGUGUUGUGGGUUCUUCAAUCAACAACCUCCCCCCUGUGGAAGAACCAGAGGACACACAAAGUCUAGGAAGAUACAUGGGCCACAACUCUCGCACUAAGGACAACCCCAACCUGGUGUGUGCACCAAAUACUGGCGUUGAAGAGGAUGAGGACACAGACUCAGACAGCAAAGGAGCAGGAGCUGAUCAAAUUGUUACUGACAAUGACCAGCAGAUAAACAAGAAUUCAACAUUCAGGGGGCAACGGAUUGACCACGUGGCUGGCUGGCCAGUAAUUCAGCCUGUCAGUCCUAAACUCACUCAGGAACAAGCAGCAGAAGAGAGGAACAAGGAGGAGAGAAAGGAGGAAAGCAAAAGCAGUGAGGAUGAGGAUAAGGAAGCUGAUAAACAAAUUGAAAAUGGUGAAAACCAAGAUGAAGGCUUGCUAAUGGGAUCAACUGAACAAGAAAAAAAGGACGUGGAGAUCAAGAACAACAAAGACAUGGAGAGUAAUAAAAAAGAGUAUGUGGAGCUUUAUGCACAAAUCCAGGUGUAUGAAAGAUCUGAUGACACCAGGCUACCUGAUUCCACUGAGGACAAGGGAAAACAGAACAGUGAGAGUCACAAGGAGAAGGAAGAAAUACAAAUCAAUGAAGAGCCUCAGGACGCUGAUAAACAAAGCCAUGGCUAUGACAAAGACGAUGCCCUCCAGCUCCGAGAUCCACCUGAGGAAAACUUCCAGCUGGGCAGCAGAUCCCCUCCUCAUCCAGCUCAGGUCCUGUGUGAAGAACAGUGUACAUGUGAGGACCUGCCUGCCUGUAAACCACUAGGAAAUACAGAAGUCACCCAAGUCCCAGAGAUGCCAGCGAUGCUCCCAGAAGAUGAACCUGCUGAGAUGCUGAAGAUCAGCACUGAGUGGUCCUCCUCGGUCUCCUCUGGGGAGUCAGAGGAGGACGACACUGGAUCUGACACACAAACCAUAACCUGUGUGAAUUGGAGGCAGGCCUUCCGCCGGCUCCGGAAAAGAGUCCUCACGUGUCUGGGGAGGAGAGUGAUGGUCAGCAGCCCACCAGCAACCCCAACCAAGAAAAGUCUUCCCACCUCCAAGGAAACCCACCCCAAAAGAACCCUCAGAGAUUUAUUCCCCACACCCCGUCCACUAAGCACACUAAGUGGUGUGAUGUUGGCCCCACUUCUAUAGUUCUACAGUUUUAUUGUUUUUAAUAAAAUAAAGAUUCUUGUUCUCUGUAUCUGCUUCCUCCAGCACAUCUUCUCGAUGCAGGCUGAAAGGAGCCAUGCAGAGGACUGAAAUGUAUUCUCUGCAACUUGCAGGUAGCAUGGUGCUUCUUGAAGAGAAAGUGUGCUGCUUCUCUCCUUUCUCUCCUGCUGCCCAGGUUUUCUUCAAUCUCAUUGACUUUAUCUCUUUCAGGGAUUUCAUCCUGUUUUUUCACUAACUCACAUCCCCAGGUUUAGAAAGCAGCAGCACAACCAGGGUGGUGUGCUUUGGGGUGAUCUUCCAGGGCCUGAGCAAGCGGCAGUGAAGAUCCAGUCACUCAGGAAGAUGACUCCAGUUGACAGUGUUUGGGGCCUGCAG